GGGGUUGUGGCUCAGUGGUAGAGCACUCGCCUAGGGUAUGAAGGCACUGGGUUCGAUCCUCAGCACCACA
rnacentral:tRNA from 1 species